rnacentral:misc_RNA from 1 species
AUAAAAUCAAGAACCAAGAGAGUAUGAAUAUAUCACACGUAACUGAAAAAUAGUAGAAAACACAAGUAUCUCUCCAACAGAAACACAUAUAGAUUGCAACAAGUAAAGACAAUAAAAAUUACAUAAAUCAUCAGCUCAAGAAACAUGGUGCAGAACUCCUACACCAGACAGCACAUCACAAAAACAUCAAGCAUUGGAUGAAGUUCAUCAUGAAACCACUGCAAAAAUAUGAGAAGGUAUAAUCGUUUAAGGACUAUUAGUUGAAUGAAAGGGGUUGAUGUCCUUGGGAAUAGUUGAUUUGGCAGGUAACGUGAGCUUAGGGAGGUCAUGCAAAUCAGGGAUAUCAGGCAAAUUAGGCAGUUGUGGCACUUCAAGCUCUGGGAGAUCUGGCAAUUCUGGUAAUGGUGGCAAUUCAACCUGAGGAAAAGAAGGCAGCUCCGGCAAUUCAGGUAUCUCCGGUAAAGUUAUUUCCAGAAGCUGUUGAGCAUCUACCAGACUUGUCUGGCUGUUCAGGCAUGAAACACUGAUCAACAAAAGUGGUAAUAUCACAGCUGAGAAUUGACGAUAGGCCAUAUCUGGUGCAACUAGCAACAAUUUCGGAGAAAAUCAGAGUUCUAGCAAUUGAAUGUUGUCAAGCUUGUUUUCUGCAUUGGUUCUCAUGUGCAAGGGGCUUUUAUAGAUGUGGGAGGUUGAAAGUAAGGAGACUUCAAGGGAGAGUUGAAAGGAAAGAUUAUAUACGGCAGUUCAACUUCUCACCUGUGGUACUAAUAGACAAUCAUUCAGAAUCCCAUAUCUUCUCCCCAAUUUCUUUCCAAACUUCUCUAUUCUCAAGAUGCUUCCUAGAGAAAAUUUGGGAUUCUUUUAAUUUCCUACCUGCUGUAGCUAGAUGAAUCAUCAGAAAUGCGUGUCAAUUGGUCCUAAGAAAUGGAGAAUAUCUCUAGCCAAAAUACCAAUGGGAAUAUCAACCAUUGGAUGGAUUGUUAAAUUACCUAUUUAAUAUGUACAUCUCUCUCCAGAAACUCUCUCUCAUUCCAUCUUCAAAGAUAAGAUUCUUAAUAAUUAUUUUCUUUUGGUACAUUGUAUAAGAUAUGCUUAUUCUCACCAAUUUUGCAAAACUUGGGCCACUCCACCCUCAAAAUUCAGCAUAUUCUUCUUUUCUUCUUGCCUGCUCACUGUUCUCCCUUCUGCAAGUCAUAAUGUAUUUAUCCAAACUCAUAUAGCCUUUCAACGUUUGAAGUUUGUAUUAUAGAAAAUUACCAUCUACUGAGAACAUUAUAAAUUACAUAAUCGCAUGAGAAAUCCACAAGAAUGAAAAGGAAGCAACAGAAAACAGAGGCAAUACUUUACACGGUGGAUCACUCAGCAUGGCUGAAGCCCAAUAUCAAGGGAAAUCCCAAGGCCUACCUGUCAUCAAAAGCAAGAGCAUGUGAUAAAUAACACAUACCUGCAGCAACAUAUAUGAUAUAUCAGAUGAAGCAGUUUUUUACUAGUUAAAAUUUGAAGUCAAUAUGUGCGACUCCAUCACACAUCCCAGCCUGAAACCUAUAUAUAUCACCACAUCAACAUUUAUGAUAGCUAAUCUUCAUGCCUUGGGCUUUAUUGUAAUUCAGUAUUAAACCAACCUAAAACCAUGUAAACCCCUCAUGGUUUUAAUGUGUAUAUACACUAUGAACAUGUCUAUAUACCUCAGCCUACUAUGCAUUCUUAUUAAACAAACCAAAAACACUUUCCUCUCUUCUCCAGGGUAUUGUACCAUUUUAAGUUUAAAAGAGGAUCAUCCAUCAGGGAGAUAUUCGUAAUAGUUUAUCAUGCAUGACAAACUUGGAAGUUUAGGAUUUGUCUCAGAAUGAAACAUAAGGAGAUAUACUUCAUUCAUUGAAAAAGUUCAGUUUUUGUGCAAAUUCAGUGUUGCAUAAGGUGUGGCAGGAUUUCCACAUUCUGGUUUCAGCAAAACAAAAAUCUGUGAGGUGGAAACCUUAACCUUGAUGAUUGACAGAAUAACAAUAGACCGAACAUACAGCUGAAGAAGCAAAAUGACAAACAUCUGUUGUGCUGCCUGAAGUGCACAAUAAGCAACAGCUACCGCAUGGACAUGGUGAACUCUCUACAAUAGACAGAGUAACAGAGCCACUCUGAAACAAUACGUUUGGCUAUUUUUGAGGCAAUACCAACACGAAUUAUCAUUAUUGUAUUUUACUAGAAAAUUGAUGAAUAAACCAAACAUGAAAACUAGCAGUAUUUGUUGAUAUGGUGUGCAUGAAGGUAUAAAGAAAAAAGAUUAUGGCUUUGCGAACCACCACUAGACAGAAACAAGUGAUAAAUAGUUGCUCUCCUCGAUUACAGCAAUUUGAUAUCACUUUCUUAAGAUCUUUCUUGUUUUAGGUGGAAACAAAAAAUAAAUAGAAAAGGCUUUUAGCAAAUGAAUUGGUAAGCUAACAGGUAAAUAAUCCAAUGGUAGAGCAAGCAAUCUUGGUUCAAAGUUCAAAUAACCCAUAUUUACCAUAUAUUGAAGUCACCGACUUGCGCUAAUAAGCCAGCAAGUUUGGUUAAUCAUAACUCACUGCAUGCAAAUGAACUGUAAGCUUUUAUUGCAGAAGAUCAACCACCUGAAUAUAUCAAAAAGUGGACUCUGACCACCAAAAUUAUCAGCUUCUGCAACAGACCAUAAAGGCUGUAACCAAGUUUAGUCAUCUUACUUGCUAGUGUCAUACCUCAUUUUGCUAGUGAUUUUUAACGUGCAUUUGCCUAUAAUCUACUUGCAGUUAUACAGCUCUUCAGCAUAGUUCAUUUAGGCAAUAGGCAUCCCUCUUUAACAUCCUCAAGUCCCAUCUCGUAUUACAAUUUCCAUUCAGCAACCCAUAUAUCAAGGUCCAGUAGCACCAUGUUCCCUUAUUCAGAUCAAAGCCAUGCAGAAAUGAAGACGCUUAAGAAAAAAUCAUUAAGUUUAACACAGCUCAGAGAGCCCCUUUUAGAUCAAACAAACUUUCAGAACCCAAUGAGUUAAAAGUUUCUAAAGAUAAGUUGCACUAAUUAGCCUCAUCUUAUACUUAUUCACAUAGGUACAAAGAAGGGUCGAAAUACAACAUCUACUGGAAUCUGUAACAGCAAAUUAUUUCUGCCAUAUAAGCAAUGAUGCACGAAGGUGAUACUUAUCCUAGAGCAUAGACAACAUCAAAAAGGAAAAAUAAUUACAACACGCAUAUAACAAGGUAGUUAUUCUCUUGAUUCAAGGGAAUAACAUUAUUCUUCAAAAGGCACAAACCAGAAGAAGAUUAAUAACAUAUUAUAGUACAACAUAGAAAGCAAAGGUAAAUUUAGCACCAUAAUGUUUUGUUUUUUAUUGUAACUUUGCCACUUUUCUCCUUCGAAUUGCUUGCAUUGUAAUCCACAGUCCAUUUCUCAAAUGUACAGUCAACAAAGUCAUAGUAGCCACCAUGAAUAGAAACUUCACCAUUCCUCACUUUUUCUUCUAUCCAUGGGUAAGUAAGGAGAUUUCCCAAUGAACAGUUGACUGAUUCCUUCUCACAGUGCCUGCACUGCCAGUCAAAAUUAAGAUUGGAGGCAGCAGCCUUUGUUCUUAACCUUGCAUUCAUCCCAACUACCACCCAACUUCCAAUGAAGCUACUUGUUUCUACAUCAUCAUGCAUGCUCAUUAGCGCACGAAUGCCUCCACAGCAACUGUGGCCAAUAACUAAAAUGUUUUCAACUUUAAGAGAAUUUACAGCAAAUUCUAGUGCAGCAUUUGUCUCUGAUGGUCCACUCUCAUAUGAGGGGACCAUAUUUGCAACAUUGCGCACCACAAAUGCUUCUCCUGGUUGGAAUCCCAGGAUGCUUGAGGGGCAAACCCUGGAGUCUGCACAAGCAAUCACCAUAAACUGAUCUUCAAAUUGUUAGUCAAUUUUAUAUUUCCAACACUUCAGCAGCCAAUUGCAAUAAAUCAAACAAGAUUCAUGAAAAUUAUGCAUAACGCAUAAUAACAUAUUGUUAUUUAGUAAACUAGACAAGCCAUUAUUACCUUAGGUGCUUGACCCUUGGCAAGAUUUUCAAAAUGUUCCAGGUUUUCCCUGUUCAAAAAUGAAUGCCACACUAACUGGCCCAAAUUAUUUUCAUGAAAGAUAAACAACAUCAUGGAAAAAUUCUACACUCUUACAUGUAUUUAUGCUUUUUGAAACUCAAAAAACGUAGUUUCAUCUCAUCAAAUAACUUGCUACCAUUUUUAGUUACCACAGGGCUCUCCAGCUUGUCACUUUUAGGUUCCCUGGUCAGCCCUGGAGUCUCCAUUGAAGCCUUCAAUUUCAGGCCUGAAAUGCUGAAAAGGUUGAAGAAGACAUUUGUAACAGCAAGUUCAAUGAAAAACAGCUUUAAUGUAUCAAACAAGAGACAUGCCUAUACAAUUCCAAAGGUUGUAUUGUAGUCACUGUCAUAUAAUUCCCAGCUUUUUCCUAUAAAUAUAUCAUUGACAAUACAUAAUAAAAACUACCAGGCAUAAAAUUCUCAGAUACCCAUUAGAAAAUUUUCAUUGGAAGAAAUGUAAUCAUUAAAUUUUCCACCUCAAAUUAUAAAUGAUCCUUGGUAUUACACGUGAGUUGCUUCAUGUAGGCAUUAAAUCAUAACCAGAAUUUGUAAUUCAAAUUUCAACAUGAACUAUACCAUAAAUCUAAGAAAAAUAUUUAAUUAAGACAUCAUUCAAUAUCUUGAUAAAAUUUUAUAAAACGUUUAAACUCUAAUAAUUAGAUGGAUGAACCAAAUCAACACAAGUUGAAUAUCAAUAUGUAUCAGUAGAAAUCUGAUAAAAGUAUUGUUUGAGUUAAUUUUUAAGAAUUAUCAAGUCAUGUUCCAGAAUACGCCGAGUUCUAAUUAUAAAAAGCAGUAUACAACAUAUCAAAAAGCUGAAAAGCUAACAUUUUAAGCAACUUAAGACAUUCAGCUCAGUUAAUUAAGAUCAUCUCUUGGAGUAAACAAUUCAUCAGCAAAAGCAACUUACAGCACCAGUAGCUGUACUAAAUUAAGGAAAUAGCAACAUAAAUAUAAAUUAUUAUUGGGGAAAAAAUAUAAGACGCUCAGGCAAGGCUGAAAACACCGAAUAAAAAAAUAUCAAAUAUCGCCUCUUUAAAACCCAAAAGUGAAUGGACUAUAUAUGGAAAGAUAAUAAUAAUAAUAAAA